AUGUUCUCAUAAUAGCAUCAGAUUGGGGCAGAGUUCACAGGGCGGGCUUCUUCUGGGCAGUCGUCACUCAGGGAUCCAGGCUGAUGGAGGCUCUGUCGUCUUCAACACUUGAGUUCCUCUCAAUCUCAGCCGGCUGGAUGAGCCAAGGAGCUGCUGUGUGGGGGGCUGUUAUGGGCCGGGCUUCAAAGUGAUGCAGAUGGGAACACUGGAGCUGAGAAGACAAAUCCAGCAUGAGCCAGAGGGCCCUCUGCUUCGCGGGUCAGGAGAAAGCAACUGCUUGAUUUCGGGUUUGCCCCUCAGACUGCAGAGCUCCGGGUCACCAGCCUAAACCGCUUAAUGCACAUUACGCCUGGGUCUACUUGGAAAUGGCUGAAGGCACUUAAAUGGAAUGUCCAACCUUUGUCCUCAGCCCUGAAACCACAGAUUCAUAUUCCAAGAGAGCAUCUGAGCAGCUUGACUGGGUCACAUGGCCCUCUCUUGACCUGGAAGGACGGGGCACCAUGAUGGACGGUUCCACUGAGAAGGGAAAUGGAGAGGAGAGCUAGUUCUCCAAAGGAAUACAGAGGUAGAGUAACUACAGAAGGGGACGGCAAAUACAUAUUUCUACUAUAGAACUUUGUUUUUGACUUUGUGGUUUGACUGAUUGUUUUCUCCAAACAAGAGUGGCCAAUCUAACAGUGUUUUAUGAGAUUGUGGGGCCUGUGCAGGACUUUGAAGGGCCAUCAAGCGCGUGGCUUGGUUAUCUACCCAAGCCAGAGAGCUGUCUAUCAUUUUCUGAGAAUCUUCCCAGACUCCUCUGAGAAGAUGGUCUAACUUUUAAAUCCUUACAAACAAGACCAGUUCUCUCUUCCAGGGAGAUAUUAAAUACCCGACAACCAGUAUACCAUGGGAGUGAGCUAACCAAAACUGUAAGAGCGGUAAACAACCCAUAGGACCAAACUGAUCCACGCCAACCUACCGUCUGUCCAGUGUCUCCUUAACCUAAGUGGGACGUUGAAAGCCUGUCCUUCUGAUCUCUACAAUAGAUGCCCAUAACAGCUCCUCAUUCCCUGGGAGAAGUACCGGGGUCUUCUUUCCUGAGUUUUCACAGACCCAUGGCUUUGUCAGGGACUUGAAAAUUUAGUGUGCCAACUGUAUGAUGGAUGCUGCCUUCUUAACAGAGCUGCACUUAAAUGCCAUGCAGUCUGCUGCUUUUUCCUGUGUAUUAAACUCUGGAGUCAUCCUGCCUGAGUUUAAAACCCAGCUCUACUACUUACUGGCUCUGUGGCCUCAAGUAAGUGGUUUACCCUCUCUGAGCCUACCUCCCCACCAUUUUCCCUCCUCCACUAUCAAGCAAAUUCCAGACACCGUAUCAUUUCAUCCCUAAAUACAUUACUAAAUGAUAAGGACUCUUUUUAAAAGGUAACCAGAGUACCAUAAUUCUUUUAUAUCAUCAAGUGGCUGUUCCUCAUUUAUGGUUCUUAUAGAGUAUCUUAAUUGUUUUCUUAGGAAAGUAGUAAUUUCUUUUUUCCUCAACAUAGUACCAUAAGCAUUUUACCAUGCUGUUAAAUAUUCUUCUAAAAUGUAAUAUUUAGGGGCACCUGGGUGGUUCAGUUGGUUA